rnacentral:misc_RNA from 1 species
GUGAAUCAUCGAAUCUUUGAACGCACAUUGCGCUCUCUGGUAUUCCGGAGAGUAUGCCUGUUUGAGGGUCAGUUUAACUAACAAUCGGUGUGGUUGCAGCCUUUCGUGGUGACGCACCGGGUUUGGGUCAUCUUGCCUUUGGUUAGGUGUUCUGACAUUUUGCAUGAUUUUUUUCGAACUUAUUUAAAUGAUUUUACGUACGUUUCCGAUAUGGACUACUAGGAUUUGUCAUCCUCAGUUGUCG